CAUGCAUAUGCUACAAAACUGUGAAAAAUAUUAAAAAAUUAUACGAGGGAAAGUUCAAAGAUUGCUAAAAAAGUUUCUCUUAAAUGUAGAAAUACUACCAGAGAGAAAUCAGUGGUUUUGACGCGUUGCGGUUGACGUUUUGUUUGCAUUUUCUCCUUACAAGAGUUAGUCCGGAUAGCUUUUCCGGACCAAACUAAACUGAACUAUUUGUCACAACACUCCAUGCAAAAGGAACCGGAAUGUCACAGUCUGAUGAAAGACACACAGACCACACCUUACUUUAAUAUGCGGCAGAAUGUAGACUGUUGUUAUAGCAAGUUAUGUGGUUAGCAGUCCGUUGACCGUUAAACUACCGUUGUCAAAAACGUCACACUUCGAGCGUCUUUUACGUUAAUUAAAAAUAACUUCCUGUAAUUUUUUUUUUUAAUGUUGUUUAUUUCACGUCAAAAACUAAACUAACUUUAUUUAUACUGGAUAGCUCUAUCAGUUCUAAACUGUUCUUCCUAGGGGUCCAGUAAGGAUCAUCUCUUAUUGAUCCAGUGUUACUACAGGAGCAAACCUAAACUAAACUAACUUUAUUUAUACUGGAUAGCUCUAUCAGUUCUAAACUGUUCUUCCUAGGGGUCCACUAAGAAUCACCUCUUAUUGAUCCAAUGUUGCUACUGGAGGAAACCUAAACUAAAGUAACUUCUUUUAUACUGGAUAGCUCUAUCAGUUCUAAACUGUUCUCCCUAGCCUAGAGGUUCAGUAAGGAUCAUCUCUUAUUGAUCCAGUAUUACUACUGCAGGAGGAAACCUACACUAAACUAACUUUAUUUACACAGGAUAUAUCUCUAUCAGUUCAAAACUGUUCUCCCUAGAGGUCUAGUAAGAGUCAUCUCUUAUUGCGUCAGGACUAAUUUCCUUAUCCUUACGAACGCCUAGAGAUUUCAGACUGGCAUUAAAUAUCCAUUUUUAAGGUUCAUAUAUAUUGUCUGAUAUAGUAAAUUGCAGAAUAACAAAAGCUGGGUUAAAUAUCGCGGUAUUUGGCGUCUCAUACUUCGUAGUUUGUUUGUUUUGAACAUUCGAGUUUACCUUACAGUUUCCUGCCCACAACAAAGGAGGCAGAUUUGGAAAAAUUUUCCGUUUGGUACAGAAACGUUUCACGUGCAAGCCGGCCGCAGGUUGUCAUAGACCGGUCAAACAUGACGAAAUCGAUUACUUCUCAGAAGUUAUACUCAGAAUUUCCACAAAGGUUUUUGCAGCUAGGAUACGAGCAAAUGAACAUAUAAAGUUUUUAACAACUAAUUAGGUAGCCAGGCAACUCAG